CAGAAAAUAGUAUAGUUUAGAUUCCUAGCUUUGGGAGGGAGGGGAGGGAGGGAAAAUCUCUCU
rnacentral:tRNA from 1 species